GACAGAGGGUGCAAACGUUGUUCGGAAUUACUGGGCGUAAAGCGUGCGCAGGCGGUUGUGCAAGACAGAGGUGAAAUCCCCGGGCUUAACCUGGGAACUGCCUUUGUGGCUGCACGGCUGGAGUGUGUCAGAGGGGGGUAGAAUUCCACGUGUAGCAGUGAAAUGCGUAGAUAUGUGGAGGAAUACCGAUGGCGAAGGCAGCCCCCUGGGAUAACACUGACGCUCAUGCACGAAAGCGUGGGGAGCAAACAGG
rnacentral:rRNA from 1 species